CCCAAUUCGGUGUGCAAUUAACAUCAGAGGAGAUGUAUAGGCAGGCACUUGGAUGAAUAGCAAGAUCAGAUAUUUUUGGAAUUUUUAAUUUACAUUUUAAUGUGUUUGGUGAUGAUUAUCACCUUAACAUAUGGUAUGGAUGAAACAUUGUGAUGUAUGGUUAAUAGGUAUGCUUGACUUUAGACUUAUAGAUGAUGAUAUUUAUAAUGAAUGAU
rnacentral:lncRNA from 1 species